rnacentral:lncRNA from 1 species
GCUCUCUGGCCUGAGGGCCAAUGCCUUUGCCAGACCCAGUAUGGCCCAGGACCUUUCCUGCUCCCUCUCCAGGGCUCCCAGGUUUUGGCGGCUACUUACAACCAGGCUGCCCAGCUCUGGAAGGUGGGAGAGACACAAUCCAAGGUGAGGCCCUGCUGGGGAGGCUGCACGAUUAAGGGUUAAACGAUCAUGCCUUAGGAUUUGCAGAAUGGUUAUUUGGGGGCUUGGCUUAAUAUGUGCUUUCUGUGGGGACAGGAAACAUUGUCUGGACACAAGGACAAAGUGACAGCUGCCAAAUUCAAGCUAACAAGGCACCAGGCAGUGACUGGGAGCCGAGACCGGACAGUGAAGGAGUGGGACCUGGGCCGCGCCUACUGUGAGGCCCAAUCCCAUUUGCCCCAACUUGUGGUCAUCAGUGCCCUU